UCAAACAGAAGACAGGAUAAACAAAACUGAGGAGUCUCAUGCAAUUCAGGACUUCACAGCUGCCUUGAUGGUGUAUAUGGAGAUGACAAAGGCACAUGGGAAGUGCUUCUCUGUUAAUGAAAAAGAAUAGGGAAAUUAUUCUGGGAGUCAAUCCAGAGCUGUUACAAAAAGACUUCACCUCUUGAUGAAUGUAACCAGCCUCUGAAUGCCAAAUCAGCCCCAUCAAGUUCAAGUCAAAGGUCUGGCAACAACAGAACCUUUCCACACUCAUCAGAUGCAUUAUCAUAUUGCCAACUUUCCUGCUGAAUGUGAACUCCUUGUACUGCCUGGAUUUAUCUGGAGGGAGGUGGUGAUACUUCGAGUCAGCAAUUCAGGACAAACUUAUGGUGCUUCCAUUUCUGGCCUCAGGUAGCAGAAGGCAACACAAU